GGACUAAGCUAGCCCCGGGGUGAGCUGUGGAUAUCCACUCCGCAUAACGAAAAGUCACUCAGGUUCUGAAUAAAUCCUCACGUUUAAAAGGACUCCUUCUAAUGUCAACCAUACAGGCCAGGAAACGUGGGCGCUUGCUCUACACGUGAAAUGGUAUGAAUUCUGAACUAUUGAUCACUCAAGAAGAAGUGAGUCCUAGAUGACAGCAUAACAGACUGCAGCUGAAAAGGUAGCAAAUCUAGUACGACGACAACACUGACCGACGUGGACGGAUCUCCAGAGAGAAAUGAACCUCUCAGAACACAUGAACUUCUCACACGACGACCUGGAAGAUUCCACAAAGGACAGGGCGACAUCGACUGGGCAAACCAGAGCCUCACAUCACCAGCUUCACAUAAAUACAAUGCAUUGCUUUUCCGAAUGAGCGAUCCAGGUCAGCCACCAGGGGGAGACUCGUCGAGGCCUGAUGACAGACGGAGGAUACAUCACGAGGCGAUGGCUCCAUCUGCUGGUCGUGCCAGGUCACGGCGGGCUCUCUGGCCAGGACUAAUUGGGGAUUGGUGAGUAAUCAAGGGCUGAUUUCUCACCAGCUGUUCAAGUCCCAUAAAGCUGCCAGAAGGGCAGCACACAGGGAAGAACUGGGUGAAGUAAGGUGACUUCCGUGUAGUUGCAGACGGUGCCCGAGCUAAGACGGUUGAGUUUGUGUGCCCGACAGGAUAUAGCAAGACCCGGAGCCCAGACGACGGUAUCCCGGAGAGGGUCUCAUGGGGGAGACCUAUCCUUUUCUUUUGAUUUAAUAUUUAAUAGACACCCUUGAAACCGAACUAAUCACACUCUGUGUCUGAUCUGUGUAAACGUCUUGACCAAACCCCCUGGUGUGCCACACGUGUUAUAACCAAAUGGUUUUUGUUUAGUCCACUAGGGACGGUAUAAUGUUGUUUAAUUAGUUAGUAAAUAAAUAAUUGAGCCA